CGGGGUGAUAAAAGUGAACGAGCAGGUGACGAAGGCACAAGGUCCAACAGUACGCCCCUCUUGAAAGUGCGCAUAAGUACUCUGGCUAUUGACGUGUUUGUGUCGGCUGAAUAAUAACAGGACGACAUCUAAAAACUCUUGAUUAAACUAGCUACGUGGCGGUCCACAUGCCAUAUCAACACAAGUCGCGUGCGUUACUGCAGUUUUCAAACAUUCCGCGCCGAAGAACAACCUUACUGAUCGGUCAAGGGCACGCACUGUAUGGAUGGCUGAAAGUGGCACAAGACCUGAUGAACCGGAAAGAUUCCCAAGACAGGGCAGUAUGUCCAGCAAACAAGACUUGAUUCAGUGGGAAAAUACCUCCGUUGAGACAUGCACUAUACUGAGCUGGCUCGGUUACGGACAGGAGAUAAUACAGGCUCGGAGAGACGCAUAUCGGGAGUUCGGCAAGCUGUUAACUGCAAGGACAUGUGGAACGACAACGUGUAUUAUUACGGGUAGCAAAGGUGAGGGGCUGAGCAGCUUCUUGGAAAGUGAUCAGGAUCAAAUGAUUGUAAAUAAUAGAGUAUUCUGUUUAGAAGAUGAUGUAAAGUCAUGUGCUUUUCCUGGGGAGAUAACCGUGUUGAGAUCACUCAGCCGCAAGAGUUACCAUGGUCACUGUAGACUGCUACUGGAGAGACGCGGAACAACAAUUCACAGGCAAUUAAAUGAUGCGUUUUGUGAUGACGGAUAUGGUCGCGAACUUUUGAGCAGUGACUUGUUUGUUAAUAACUGGUCGAACGAACGCUUGGCUGAGGGCAUGGUGCAGCAUGAGCGUGCGGGACCGUCAAUUCCGAGUACAAUGCAUGGACACUUUCACAAUGACAAAGUACAUGCAUUACAUUACUACUGCCCCAACAUUCUGUCAAAAUGGGCCGCAAGACCUCGCCACUGGCCGCCACCGGAAGUCGCUCAGAGGGUCGUAUCACUUGGGGCGGUUCUUACGCCUGUUGGAUUUAAAGGGAGUGAAUAUCAACAUGUUGAAUGGAGAGUGUGUUUUAACGCCGGUGAGAUCGAACUAAUUAGCAAUCUUAAUGACACUCAAACCAAAUUGUAUGUUUUAUUGAAAAUGAUAAAGAACGAUGUAUUACAUCCACGUAAGAAAGAAGUUACAUCGUACACAUUGAAAAACAUCGUUUUAUGGAUGGCGGAAAAUAAUCCUCAAGCCUCGUUUCAUAAAAAAAGUAUUUUGCAGUGGUUGCAUGAAGCAUUGGAUGCGCUUAGAGUUGCAUUGAUCACCUUAGAGCUACCAUACUAUAUGAUUCCAGAAAGGAAUUUGAUGGCAACCUCUGGACUGGAUGAGGAACAGCAACGCACAUGGAUAUCAACGAUUACAGAUAUGCUCAAUGAAGGUCCUAGGGUGAUACUCAGACUUCCAAAGAUACGACAAUGCAUCGUAGCUCACCCUGAACCAUUACGAUGGUACAGCGGGAGGAGAAUUGAGGUGGAAAUGCUAACGCUCAUGCUCAUGAACAGAGUGGUAAUCUGCAGGGAUGAGAACGGGGAGUAUGACAUUACCGAUGCGAUUUUGCAGGCAUUAAUAAGACGAGGAAACGAGGUUAUAACGGAUGUUUGCGAGAGGAUGAUAAUGGAAGGGAGUCGAGUGUUCAAUGCGGAUGCUACUAUUUUUGAUCGAAUUAUGAUGUAAAACGUUAACGAUGAUCAAUAGAUCAGAAACGAGGCGCGGACAACACGUAUUUAUAACUUUUGAGUACAUAUUACCUUAAACGAAUCACCGAUCAUUGUUGCCGGGAACGUGAAAAUUAUACAACUUAUCGUAUUAGUGAUUUGUUUGUUCAGUAAUUGAUGUUUGACUUGCAGACGUUUGUUUCACUUUUUAAAAAUGUGCACAAUUUUACAAAAGAUUUGUUUACAGUAGGCUGUAAACUUUACCGAAACAAUAAAUUUAAAUACAUUUUAUUAAAAAAUGUCAAUCGGCUUCGCAUAGAUAACAUUAGUUUGCAAAAUAACGUUAUGUAAAGUAAUUUUGCUAUAUUGUAUAUAUCUUAACAAAAUAUGUACGUAUCGCGCUUGGAAACCAGCGGUAUAAUUUCAAGUUAUGCAUAUAUUACCCUUUUGAUCUUAUAGUAGUAACUCAUUUUGUCGACGUAUGUAGAAAUGUGACUUGUGUUUAUUUGCGUAAGCAUGUUAGGAAAUAAAGUGUGUUUGUGUCAUUUGUAUCUCAUCUUCUUAUCUAAAUGUUCACUUGGUUUAUGGUUGGUAUUGUUAACGCAUUUGCACUGAAUGAAUAUAUGUGUUACUGAUACCACUGGUAUUGUUGUAAUUGCUGUAAAUGUAUCGAUAAUAUUCUUGUUUUUCUUGUUGAAUAGAAACAUUGUUGUGAUUUGUAAUAUUGAUCAAAAAGUAUUGAACACAUUGUUGCACUUAUCGAUAAAAUUGGUGCAUAUCUGUGUUCAUUCGUAUUUUUAAAAUGUCUUCAAUAACGCUAUUGUUGCAUUCACAAAUAAGAAAUAAAGUGCAGUUGUUUUAUGCGAAUUGAUUAAACUACUUUUCAUGUGAAUGUAUAAUUGCUCGUGUUUUUUACUGGACAAGUGAAUGUAAACUUUUAUUGAACACGGAUAAUCUGUUUUCCUCAAAACACAUAGUUUGUAAUGAAUCUAAAGAUACAAAGAUAUAUGCUAUAGUAUUGAUUUUUUUUAUGCGGAAAUAUUUUCAUACAUGAAAAACGUAAUGGUUGAUUUUCGUUAAUCUAGUUAUACCGUUGAUCUCGUUUUGCUCUAAGCGUGUGUAUGCUUUUGUUAUGUUUCAUUUUGUUAGGUUUUUAGCGAGGCUGUUUUCGGAGAAAACCCGAGCUAUUGUCAUAGCCAGCUCGUCGUCCGCCGUCCGCCGUAGGCGUCGUGCUUAAACUUUUACACUGGCCAUAGCUUUUUAAAUAUUGAAGAUAGCACCUUGAUAUUUUGUAUUCAUGUGUAUCUCAUGGAGCUGCACAAUGUGAGUGCUAAAAUUUCAAGGUGAACAUCAGCCUUCGAGGUAUAGGAUCGAAAAAACAAAGUCAAGGGAAGUAAUAAGCUUUAAAUGGACAUAGUUAUCUGACCUGCCCACGUAUAUAAUUUUGAAAAAUUACUCAAAGCGGCGCAGUAGGCGGCAUUGUGUUUCUGACAAACAAAUUGUGGUAACAAAUACAGAUUUAAGGGAAGUAAUAAGCUUUAAAAAGGGAGAAAAUUAUUCAAUAUUGAACAUAGCCACUUUAUAUAUUUGGCAUGCAUGCGUAUCUCAUGGAGCUGCACAUUUUGAGUGGUGAAUCUACAGUCACGGUAGUGGCUUUUAAUUAUUUGCUACUAAAAAUAGAGAUUUUUUACAGACAAUUAUUUUCAAGGCAAGUAAUUUAUAUAAUUAUAAAUCUCAUAUUAUAUAUUUCCUUACCAAUAUUUGAAGUUCCUUUCACAGUUACUGUACAGAUUUAUUAUUUUGAUUAUUUAUAACCCAAAUGAUUGAUUUGUCAAAGUUUUUUUUUAAUGAUAUAAUUAUAAUUUGGUUAUAGAUCCACGGUCGUAGAUGUUAGUAGUUUUUGUAUUGUUCCGUAUCGGCAGGAUCGUGAGUGGCACUGUGGGAGAAAAAGGACAUGUUCUACCAUGGCAUUUGAAAUGGCAUUUAAUAAACACUGAUAUGUUCUGGUCACACUUAUAUGAUUGUUAAGCAUAAGCACAUUUUUGAAUUAGAGUUCAUUAGAGGUAUCCAGUUAACAUCACUCUUACGCCAUUGGCUACACGUAUGUUAUGGCCAUUAAACUGUUGAAUUUAUACUAAAUACCCAUUUUGUGUUGUAAUCAUAUGAAUGGAAUGUAAUUUUCUGCAUUGAAUGUAUGAGCGAUGGAGGACAUAUCAUGUUAAAAUGCAUGAUGCCUGAUUACAUUCCGAGGGUGUAACUUUGUAUGUUUAUUAGCAAUACAAUUAAACUCAGUUGCAAAACCAC